GUGAAUCAUCAAAUUUUUGAACGCAAAUUGCACUCUCUGGUAUUCCGGAGAGUAUGCCUGUUUGAGGGUCAGUUUAAAUAAAAAUCGGUGUGGUUGCUGCCUUUCGUGGUGACGCACCGGAUUUGGGUCGUCUUGCCUUCGGUUAAGUGACCUAAAAUUUUGCAUGAUUUUUUCGGACGGUAUAUAAUUAUUUUACGGACCGUUUCGAUUACGAA
rnacentral:misc_RNA from 1 species